GGGCAGCAGUGGGGAAUAUUGCACAAUGGGCGGAAGCCUGAUGCAGCAACGCCGCGUGCGGGAUGACGGCCUUCGGGUUGUAAACCGCUUUCGCCUGUGACGAAGCGUGAGUGACGGUAAUGGGUAAAGAAGCACCGGCUAACUACGUGCCAGCAGCCGCGGUGAUACGUACGGUGCGAGCGUUGUCCGGAUUUAUUGGGCGUAAAGGGCUCGUAGGUGGUUGAUCGCGUCGGAAGUGUAAUCUUGGGGCUUAACCCUGAGCGUGCUUUCGAUACGGGUUGACUUGAGGAAGGUAGGGGAGAAUGGAAUUCCUGGUGGAGCGGUGGAAUGCGCAGAUAUCAGGAGGAACACCAGUGGCGAAGGCGGUUCUCUGGGCCUUUCCUGACGCUGAGGAGCGAAAGCGUGGGGAGCGAACAGGCUUAGAUACCCUGGUAGUCCACGCUGUAAACGGUGGGUACUAGGUGUGGGGUCCAUUCCACGGGUUCCGUGCCGUAGCUAACGCUUUAAGUACCCCGCCUGGGGAGUACGGCCGCAAGGCUAAAACUCAAAUGA
rnacentral:rRNA from 1 species